rnacentral:rRNA from 2 species
CGGAGCAUGUGGUUUAGUUCGAAGCAACGCGAAGAACCUUACCAGGGCUUGACAUGCCGCUGACCGGUGCAGAGAUGCAUCUUUAUCCUUCGGGGUACAGCGGACACAGGUGGUGCAUGGUUGUCGUCAGCUCGUGUCGUGAGAUGUUGGGUUAAGUCCCGCAACGAGCGCAACCCUUGUCUUUAGUUGCCAUCAUUAAGUUGGGCACUCUAAAGAGACUGCCGAUGACAAAUCGGAGGAAGGUGGGGAUGACGUCAAAUCAUCAUGCCCUUUAUGUCCUGGGCUACACACGUGCUACAAUGGUCGGUACAACGAGAAGCAAGCCAGCGAUGGCAAGCAAAUCUCUAAAAGCCGAUCCCAGUUCGGAUUGCAGGCUGCAACUCGACUCCAUGAAGUUGGAAUCGCUAGUAAUCGCGGAUCAGCAUGCCGCGGCCGAAUACGUUCCCGGGCCUU